rnacentral:lncRNA from 1 species
UUUUGCAAUUUAAUUUUAAUUUUGUACCUAAGCUUACUUUUAGGUCAAACAAAUGACAAGUUGCUGCAGACCGAAAAUGAAAAGGCAUUAAGAAUAUCGACCAAACACAUUGCAAUGCAUCUAAAACCUACAUUGCUUCACUGCUCAACUCCCCUAAAAACACUGGAAAUUUAGCAAUUUUUGACAUUUCUCUUUUCAGCUUCAAAUACUUUUAUUUCAAAAUCCCAAAAAUUUUAUACAAAUAUACAAAUAAUUUUUCAUUUUAACUCUAAUGAAUUCUAAUUAGCAUCCCGACGUGAUCAGUUUACCCGCAUCAUUUGACCAUUAAGAGCACGCAGAACUACUCACUCAGAGCAUUCCUCCCUUUGAUGGUGCACGUUUCUCUAAUGAGCGCGACUUAUUCAACCAAAUGGGUUAGACGUGGGUGGUGGAAAUCAGCGUUACGGUUUUUCUGCUACAUGUGUUCAAAUAUAUGUCUGUAUGAGGCUUUUGAAAAGCUACCAGCUUGGGUAGAAAUAGAUAAACAUAAGGGAAAAUUACAGCACUCAAAUAAUAUGCAUGCAUGAUUAGCAUGAGGUGCAUACAUAUGUAGAUGUAUGUAACGAAAGUAGUAAAUAUUGAUUUUUCGCACUAAAAUAUCGUAGCGCAAUUGGAGAAAUCUUCAGCUUUCUAGAAAUGCAAUAUUUGGAACAAAAAUGCAUAUUAGUGUCAAUUUUAUACAAUAUAUUUAGCUUAACUAAUGAAUAUAUAUUUUCGCAGAUAAAAAGAAAGCCACACCAAAUAAUAAAUGUGUAUGCAAGUAACUGAAACACAAAAUAAAAUAAUAAUUCAACUAACAAUGAAGUAAUAAUAUUUAUGUAUAUCUGAAAGUUAUUACUGUUGCAAUGUGCCUAUGCAUUUAGGUAUGCAUACAUAUUUAUCGCUGGUUAAAAGAAAAGAAAAAGUACCAGGGCCUAUUGAAAUUCAUUUUUGUUUAUUUUGUGUAAGAUAAACACAACGGCGGCAGGCGCAGAAUGUGGUGGCUUAUUGGAGUCAAUUACACCGAUUAUUUUCAUAUAUGUACAUACAUAGCAAUACUUGUGUAUGUCUGGUUUGAUGC